GUGAAUUAUUGUUUGCAGUUAUACCUAUCUAUAAUCCCUUAUAAAGAGUAUUGAGUAUUAGACCUUCAGCAACUUUCUCCCUUCCCAAAAUACCCCUCCUCGCUUAUACGCAUCAAACAAAUAUCUCUCUUUCUCACACGACACAUUCUUUUCCUCCCCAUCGCCUUCCCCGUCAUCACCACCACCGUCCCCCGCUCUGUCCGGUUAUCAUCAUAUAAGGGGUUGAUUUUCAGUUUUUUGGUGGUGUUCUCCAAUCAUCACAAGUCCACCACCAUCCCCAAAUAACUCGAUUCGAUCCGACAUAUAUAGAGGGUGUUGUUCUUCGGGUGGAGUGGAAGUGGUAAAGACUAUCCUUUUGCAGCUUAUUAAUUGCAGGGCUAAAAAAACCAACAUCAGGUUACAUUUGCGUCCAAAUAUACGGUGAUCGAUGAUGGAAUUAUGGAAAGCAGAGCCAGCCUCCUAUCGUAUAUAUAGUAUCUGGAAAAAGUUGGUGUUGUUUUCCAGUUUCCUCAAAGCAUGAGAAGAGGCUUUUGGACAGACCUAUUAUUGACAUAUUUUUCGCUACAUAUUCAACAAUAGUCAAGGGAUUGGUAAUUGGUGACAUGUGAUUCUUGCACUUCUUGAAAGUUGAUAGUAUACAUUCUUUUAUAAUGGCUGAUGUGGUUUAAUUAGUAUAACUGCAAAGAAGAGGUAUGUAAUAUUAUUGCAUUUUUAUACGAAUUCGGCUAUAUAUUUUUUUAAGAUAAUUAGUAUAUUGUUGCAGUUACCUGGCUAUAAUGUUGCAAUUACCGUCGUCGUCUCACCUCACGUGUUUUCUAUUGUCAUCGCCUUUUAGCCCCCUCAACGCUCGG